UUGUUACUGCUAUGCUUUUCU
ensembl:piRNA 21ur-11970 ncRNA